rnacentral:rRNA from 1 species
ACCAACAGGGAUUGCCCUAGUAACGGCGAGCGAAGCGGCAACAGCUCAAAUUUGAAAUCUGGUCUUCUGGGCCCGAGUUGUAAUUUGCAGAGGAUGCUUCUGGCAAGGUGCCUUCCGAGUUCCCUGGAACGGGACGCCAUAGAGGGUGAGAGCCCCGUACGGUUGGACACCGAGCCGUUGUGUAGCUCCUUCAACGAGUCGAGUAGUUUGGGAAUGCUGCUCUAAAUGGGAGGUAUAUCUCUUCUAAAGCUAAAUACCGGCCAGAGACCGAUAGCGCACAAGUAGAGUGAUCGAAAGAUGAAAAGCACUUUGAAAAGAGAGUUAAACAGCACGUGAAAUUGUUGAAAGGGAAGCGCUUGUGACCAGACUUGUGCCCGGUGAAUUAGCUGGUGUUCUCACCAGUCGACUUUGCCGGCUCAGGCCAGCAUCGGUUUGUUAUUGGGGAGAAAAACGAUGGGAAUGUGGCUCCUUCGGGAGUGUUAUAGCCCGCCGUAUAAUACCCUUUGGCAGACCGAGGACCGCGCAUCUGCAUGGAUGCUGGCGUAAUGGUCACCAGCGACCCGUCUUGAAACACGGACCAAGGAGUCAACCUUAUGUGCAAGUGUUUGGGUGUUAAACCCCUACGCGGAAUUAACGUGAACGUAGGUGAGAGCCUUCGGGCGCAUCAUCGACCGAUUCUGAUGUUCUCGGAUGGAUUUGAGUAAGAGCACACAGGGUUGGACCCGAAAGAAGGUGAACUAUGCUUGUAUAGGGUGAAGCCAGAGGAAACUCUGGUGGAGGCUCGCAGCGGUUCUGACGUGCAAAUCGAUCGUCAAAUAUGAGCAUGGGGGGCGAAAGACUAAUCGAACCUUCUAGUAGCUGGUUCCAGCCGAAGUUUCCCUCAGGAUAGCAGUGUUGAUCUCUCAGUUUUAUGAGGUAAAGCGAAUGAUUAGGGACUCGGGGGGCGCUAUUUAGCCUUCAUCCAUUCUCAAACUUUAAAUAUGUAAGAAGCCCCUUGUUAC